rnacentral:rRNA from 1 species
UACGUAGGGGGCAAGCGUUGUCCGGAUUUAUUGGGCGUAAAGCGCGCGCAGGCGGUUCUUUAAGUCUGGUGUCUAAGUGCGGGGCUCAACCCCCGUGAUGCACCGGAAACUGGGGAACUUGAGUGCAGAAGAGGAGAGCGGAAUUCCACGUGUAGCAGUGAAAUGCGUAGAUAUCGGAAGGAACACCAGUGGCGAAAGCGGCUUCCUGGUCCAGCACCGACGUUCAGGCACGAAAGCGUGGGGAGCAAACAGG